UCCCAUCCUCCCAUCCUUGCAUUUCCCUAUACUGGGACAUUGAACACCCUCAGGCCCACUGAUGUCCAACAAGGCCAUCUUCUGCCACAUAUGUGGCCAGCUCCAUGGGUCACUCCAUGUAUAUUCUUUGGUUGGUGGUCCAGUCACCAGGAGCUCGGGGUCAGGGUGUCUGGGCUGUUGACACUGUUGUUCCCUCCAUGGGGCUGCAAACCCCCUCAGCUCCCUCAGUCCCUUCUCCAUCUCCUCCACUGGGGACUCCCAAGCUCAAUCCAAUGGUUGGCUGCAAGCUUCCUCCUAAUGUUCUUCUUAUAUGCUGUUUAGUGAUGCAGGUUCCAACAGGCUCCCCUGCCACAGGACAUUCAACUUGGACUCUGGCUAUGUGCUUCUUCCUUGCCCUCUGUCCCAGGAAUCACAGCCAUCUCUCUGGGGGGCCCAAUCCACUUCAGUCCUACCCCAAAAUCAACAUUGAGGUGUUCCAGUUCCACCCCUUGCCAGCCACAUCACUUUGUCCACAGACUGAACUCACAGCCCACAGACACCUUCCUCCUUCCAGCCUCAGUCCUCGAACUGCUCUCAGUUCCUUCCUUCAGAGGCAAAUGACCUCUGUUUGACACAGAAUCAGCCUGAAUGGGAUUUUACUUAGACUUAAAGAAAAUUAAGUUAUGAAAUUUGUAGGAAAUGGAUAGACUUGGACAAUGUUAUAUUAGGUAAAGGAGCCCAGGGUCACAAAUGCUGUGUGUUCUGUCUCCCUUGUGGAGCCUAGGUUCCCUUUUUAUACAUGUGGGAGUGGGUAAAGGUCAGAAAGCUAGAAAGGGGCUGGUGAAAAGAAGAAAGGAUUUGGGAGAGCCUCGGGGAGGACACUAGAAUGGGUGUGAAAUGAAAGUAGAAAGUAGAAUAGUGAGGAAGAAGACAGACCCUAUAGAGGGCCCGAGGCAGGGGACUGGGUAUAGAAGGAUCAGCUGAAAUUGAGUACAUAUGAAAUCACUGUAAAGAAACCUGCUACUUUGAAUGAUGUCUAAAACAAAUUUAACUGAAAAUAAAAUAGUUUUGAAUCAUUUGGAUAAAUCCCCUGUACAAGCAAAUUUAAAAUUAUCUACCAAAUGUAUGAGGCCAGGGUUUCCCAGUGUUGGCACUAUGGAUAUCCAGAGCCAGACAACUCUGUACUGUGGCUACUUUCCUGGGUCCUGCAAGAGGUUAAUAGGGGCUCUGGCCUCUGAGCUCAGAUUAGAGUAGCAUUCACCACAUACCCCAGCUGUGCAAACCUGUUCUGUACUGCUCCUAAGCAUCACAAAAAUGCUAUGCUCCCUUGCUUUACAUGGUGAAAUACACUUCCACCUUCCUGCAGAAUACUACCUGAAGCAAUGAGUGUUGCCUUGAAAAAUAAUUCUACCACCCUUUCCCCUGCAUGCAGUGUAUGAUUGGAAAAUGAACAGUUCACAUUUUUUAAAAUGUGGGGGAGGGGGGUAUGUGUGUGUGCACGCACAUAAGUGCAGUUACAUGUGAAUACAGGUGCCUGAGGAGGCCUGUAGGUGUUGGAUCCCAUGGACCUGGAGUUACAGGCAGUUGUGAUCCACCCAGCCCAGAUGCUGAAAAAUGAAUGUAGGCUCUCGGUAAGAGCAGUAGCUGACUUUAACCACAGAGCUGUCUCUCCAGGCCACAGUGGCCCACAUUUUUAAGGCUAUGACUUCUAAUCUUAUUGCAAACAGAAUUUCUGAUUUUAAAAAGCAUCCAUAUCUCUAAAGUGCAGAAAAGGAAACAAUUGUGGGCAUAAGUGGGGAGUCUAAAGCAAACCAGAGGCAGCUGUACCAUUUCUGGUGGUCCUGUCUUCUUGGUCCUCAUUUACUUGGCCCUCCUACUUGCUAACCCAUGUCUUCUCAGCACAGUGAUCUCGUUGGCAUCAAGAGUCUAAAACAAGAGUGUUUCUGAAAUACUAGCAAGAGGCAGACAGUAUGAUUUCAUGUCUGUUUAGUCUAAGAUUUUCUCAGACAAUUUUAUCUGCUACAUGAUAAGACUUUCAACAGACAUAUAGUUUUAUAGUUUUAUAUGCUAUAUGAUAAGCUAUCUUCCACUUCUCCAUUUUUCUUAAGCUACUUCUACCCUUCUUAUUUUGAUAAAGAUUAAAAUUCUGUGAGUUAUUUCUUUACUUUUAAAGGAGGAUAGCCUUGAGCAAAGUUAAGCAACAGGCAACUGAGUGCACUCGAGCUGGAACACGUGGGAAGUGGUACAGGCUGUGGAAAGCUGGGCAGGGCGCUCCUUCGUGGGAAGUGGGGCUGUCUGCUCUGCUGUGAGAACUUGGGCUGUGGCAGGAGACCACUCAUCUACUCAUGUGAUGCAUGAAGGCUGGAUUCUAUAUUUUUACAGCAUAGUUUUGGGUUUUGGCUUAGUUUAUCUUAAUAUUAUGAGUCAAACACUGUAGACUCUGUGUGUUCUUUUGAUUAAACCCUGAGUGAAAUUCAUCAUAUCAACCUAUUUUCUUUCUUAGUGAUUUUCUCCUCAAAUAUUUCUGUUCUUACUGUAGAUUUAAAGGUUAUGGUGGCUAUAGUGGCUAUUAAGAUUCUGAGGCUACCAGAAAGAGAAAAGAAAGGACAGCCAGGAAUUUUUCCAUGUUAAGCUGUAAUAGCUGAGCCUUUCAAACCCAACACUCUUGAGUCUGAAACAGGAGAAUCAUAAGUUCAAUCCUGGACUGCCAAGGAAAUUUAAAGAAAGCCUGCACAUAUUACUGUGUUGGCUUGUGACAGAACUGGAGGGCUGGAUAUGUAAUUCGGCUGCAUGGUGCUUGCCUAGAAUGUAUAAGACCCUAAGUACCACAGAGGAAGAAAAAUAUGUACAUACAUACAUACAUACAUACAUACAUGAUACAUACAUAUGUAUGUGUAUAUACAGAGAUAUAUGCAUAUAUGUGCAUAUACAUACAAAUGCAUAUGAAUAAUAGCAAAGUCUGGCCCUAAAUUAAAGAAAUAACCUAAGAGUUCUGUGUCUCUUCCUACCCUAGGAGUUCCCAAGAAGCCUAGAGGCCACCUCACAGUAUGCUCUUCUCCUUUCUGGUGUUAAUCUCUGGCCUGCCUGCCAAUGCUUUUGACACGCUAUUGCCAAGGCAUAAAAGGUUGAGCCUUAGACUUAAGUGUUUGUGGGUCUCAUCACCACAGGCUCAGCCAGCCAGAAGGUAAAAUGACAGGAUGUGACACUGGAGAGUAUCAUGGGGUACAUAGUGGCUGCCCUGAGGAAAGAGUCUGCCAAGUGGGAGCCUCUGGUACAGUUUUGCAGAGGCUGAGCCCAUCACAGCAAUCUAUAAAGGUCUCUAAAGUGAUUAGUGACUCAAGGUUUUGCUCAGUAAUUUACAUGUAGUAGUUCUGCAGUUUGUUGGAGAAAUGAACAGAUGGGUGGCUUAAUUAAUUAAUGUGGUGUUUAUCUGAGGGUUAAAGAUUAACAUGACGAAAAGCUCAGUUCCUAAUACCAAGAAUUAAAUGUAAAAGGAAUCAGGAUUAGCAUGUUAGGAAAAGGCUAAGCCAUUCGAAAGGCUUUUAAUUAUACAAAGAAAUACCAUGAGAAAAUGAGCUUAAAUUAAAAAUCUGAACAGUGGUUUGAAGUGUACACACUCAAUAUGGAAUUGGGAAAAAUGACUAAGUACAGUAAUACUUUAGCUUCUCUGGGAGUGUUAGAAUGCAGCCUCACCCUGAGUGCAGCCCACCUACAGUUCUUAUGCUCUGAGCUUUUACUUCGGCAUUAUGAAUCAUAGUCGACCUGAAUUGUUCUCUGGAGUUAGUGACUAGUCCUCUUUAGCAGUUACCUGGGAAACUUGAAGAGUGGUUCUUCACAUGGACAGUAAAAUCACAAGUUCUCUUACUCUAAUCUUAAUUACUAAUAUCGAUAUGAAUUCUCAGAUCACAAAUCACACUGUCACCAUGGUCAUUUGUAUGGGUAUUUAUAGUGUACGAAGAAUUAAAUAAGGCACAGAGUUCAUGCAGGCCUUACCAGAAGCAGAAUAGAGGCAGAUUCAAGGACGUGCACAGAGUACCUGGAGGUAGCUGCACAAGCUAUUAAAAAACCUGUUGGACCCCUUCAUGAUAAAAGUCUUGGAAAGAUCAGGAAUUCAAGGCCCAUACCUAAACAUGGUAAAAGCAAUCUACAGCAAACCAGUAGCCAACAUCAAAGAAAAUGGAGAGAAGCUGGAAGCAAUCCAACAAAAAUCAGGGACUAGGCAAUAUAGUACUUGAAGUCCUAGUCAGAACAAUU
rnacentral:lncRNA from 1 species